ensembl:rRNA 5S_rRNA 5S ribosomal RNA
CUUGACGACCAUAGCAAGGUGGUCCCACACCUUCCCAUCCCGAACAGGACUGUGAAACGCCUUUGCGCCGAUGAUAGUGGACGGACGUCUGUGAAAGUAGGUCAUCGUCAAGC